CUCUUUAUCACAUACCUAUGUGGCUCACCAAUAUGAUUCAAUGACAUUAUUAACAAACCAUUUUUCUCUUCACUUAAAAUUUCUUUUUAUUCAACUUUCAGAAUCUUAACUUCCAGUUGAACUCCAAUGUCAAGUUCCACUCUUCAAGAGCAGUCAUCGAACUUUUUCUGCAUCAACUUUGGAACAUCAUUUCUCACCGCAGGUUCUGACUACUGUUCUUGCCAAGAAGAGUGGAUUGAGUACCGAUGCAACUGCUACUUCUUUUCUACUGAAGAAAAUUCUUGGAAAUAA
rnacentral:lncRNA from 1 species